rnacentral:rRNA from 1 species
AACGAACGCUGGCGGCAUGCCUAACACAUGCAAGUCGAACGAGACCUUCGGGUCUAGUGGCGCACGGGUGCGUAGCGCGUGGGAACCUGCCUUUAGGUUCGGAAUAACUCAGAGAAAUUUGAGCUAAUACCGGAUAAUGUCUUCGGACCAAAGAUUUAUCGCCUUUAGAUGGGCCCGCGUUGGAUUAGCUAGUUGGUGGGGUAAAGGCCUACCAAGGCGACGAUCCAUAGCUGGUCUGAGAGGAUGAUCAGCCACACUGGGACUGAGUCACGGCCCAGACUCCUACGGGAGGCAGCAGUGGGGAAUAUUGGACAAUGGGCGAAAGCCUGAUCCAGCAAUGCCGCGUGAGUGAUGAAGGCCUUAGGGUUGUAAAGCUCUUUUACCCGAGAUGAUAAUGACAGUAUCGGGAGAAUAAGCUCCGGCUAACUCCGUGCCAGCAGCCGCGGUAAU